AUGAUUGACGGCGGAGCACGUUUUGAGAGAGAAUGUGUUCUCUUUGAACAUAUGGGGAUGCUCUUUCGUCAUGUUCCGAAGGUCAUGGAUAAUAGUGGGAUGACAGAAAUUACAAAGAGACACGUAGUGAAAAGGCGGACAAAAUAUCCAAGAGAUAUUUUGCCGGAUCACUUGAAGCACUACUGGCUGGACCAGAUCAACAACACAUCCCUAACUUUUUGGCACAACCGAAUGUACAUUAGGGUGUUGGAACUGGUUCGACUUGGAGACGCAAGUGUUGAGGCAUAUGAAACUCUGAUGGGGCUUUUAGACUAG
rnacentral:rRNA from 1 species